rnacentral:lncRNA from 1 species
AGAGUCAGUCGAGUCAAUUUUUGUUUAUUUUAUUUUUCAGAUUCUAGGAAAGAUUUUGUCCUCUUGUUUUUAGGCACAGUCUGCUCUAGGCCUCUUUGCGAGCUGCCAGAGAGUUUUCCUCUGCUCUUCCCUGCCCAGACACAGGGUUAUGUGAGGGCAAAACUUAAAAACGGAAGCCCCAGCCCCCAGGAAGUCACUCCCAGGGUCCGAGGGGGGCCUGUGCUCAGAGAGGAGGAGGAGGAGGAGGAAGAGAAGGGAGAGGAUGUAGGACUGCCUGCGGCAGCCACCUUCCCUCAGGGACCCUGCUUCAGCUGCUCUCCCUUUUCUCUAGCCACUGGAGCUGACAUCUUGCCCCAGAGGCCAGCCUUUGUCCCCCAGCCCCAGGAAGAUGGAGUGAGAACGGCCUGCCCUGUCCAGGGCCUGAGAUGGCCACUGCAGCUAUGUCUCUGUCUCUUUCUGUCCCCUCACUUUACCUCUCUGUAUCUCCAUUUUCCCCUGAUUUUCUGUCUCUCCCUGUCUCUCUCUCUCUGUCUGUCUCUCUCCUCUAUCUCUGUGUGUCUCUUCUGUUUCUGUGUCUCUGUCUCUGUCCCUCUAUCUCGCUCUUUCUCUCUUUCUGUCUCUGUCUCUCUGUGUGCCUCUGUCUCUGUCUCUCUGUCUCUGUCUUUCUCUGUCUCUUUCUCUCUCUCUCUCUCCCUUUCUAGCUCUGUCUUUCUGUCUCUUUCUGUGUCUCUGUGUCUCUUUGUCUUUCCUUACUUUAUCUCUCUGUGUCUCCAUUUCACUUCCCUCCCUGAUUUUAUUUCUUUCUGUCUGUUUCUAUCUCUCUCUGCCUCUGUCUCUCUCCUCUGUCUCUGUGUCUCUUUCUCUUUAUGUCUCUCUAUCUCUCUCUGUGUCUCUUGUCUCUGUGUCUGUCUUUAUAUCUCUAUCUCUGUCUCUCUGUCUCUUUAUGUCUCUGUCUCUCUGUCUCUAUGUGUCUUUUUUGUUUGUGUCUCUUUCUCUUUCUCUGUCUCUGUCUCUCCUCUGAAUCUCUGUGUCUCUGUCUCCUUACAGCGUUUAACGGGGAGAUGA